rnacentral:rRNA from 1 species
GGACGCAAGUCUGAACCAGCCAUGCCGCGUGAAGGAUUAAGGUCCUCUGGAUUGUAAACUUCUUUUAUANGGGACGAAAAAAGGUCUUUCUAGNCCCCUUGACGGUACCAUAUGAAUAAGCACCGGCUAACUCCGUGCCAGCAGCCGCGGUAAUACGGAGGGUGCAAGCGUUAUCCGGAUUCACUGGGUUUAAAGGGUGCGUAGGCGGGUAGGUAAGUCAGUGGUGAAAUCCUGGAGCUCAACUCCAGAACUGCCAUUGAUACUAUCUAUCUUGAAUAUUGUGGAGGUAAGCGGAAUAUGUCAUGUAGCGGUGAAAUGCUUAGAUAUGACAUAGAACACCCAUUGCGAAGGCAGCUUACUACGCAUAUAUUGACGCUGAGGCACGAAAGCGUGGGGAUCAAACAGGAUUAGAUACCCUGGUAGUCCACGCCCUAAACGAUGGAUACUCGACAUACGCGAUACACUGUGUGUGUCU